UACGGAGGAUGCGAGCGUUAUCCGGAUUUAUUGGGUUUAAAGGGUGCGUAGGCGGACGCUUAAGUCAGCGGUAAAAUUGCGGGGCUCAACCUCGUCGAGCCGUUGAAACUGGGUGCCUUGAGUGGGCGAGAAGUACGCGGAAUGCGUGGUGUAGCGGUGAAAUGCUUAGAGGUCAUACAGAGCACCGAUUGCGAAGGCAGCUUACCAAUCUAUAUCUGACGUUGAGGCACGAAAGCGUGGGGAGCAAACAGG
rnacentral:rRNA from 1 species